rnacentral:rRNA from 1 species
AGUGAGCGCUGGCGGUAGGCCUAACACAUGCAAGUCGAACGGCAGCACAGUAAGAGCUUGCUCUUACGGGUGGCGAGUGGCGGACGGGUGAGGAAUACAUCGGAAUCUACUUUUUCGUGGGGGAUAACGUAGGGAAACUUACGCUAAUACCGCAUACGACCUACGGGUGAAAGCAGGGGAUCUUCGGACCUUGCGCGAUUGAAUGAGCCGAUGUCGGAUUAGCUAGUUGGCGGGGUAAAGGCCCACCAAGGCGACGAUCCGUAGCUGGUCUGAGAGGAUGAUCAGCCACACUGGAACUGAGACACGGUCCAGACUCCUACGGGAGGCAGCAGUGGGGAAUAUUGGACAAUGGGCGCAAGCCCGAUCCAGCCAUACCGCGUGGGUGAAGAAGGCCUUCGGGUUGUAAAGCCCUUUUGUUGGGAAAGAAAAGCAGCAGGUUAAUACCCCGCUGUUCUGACGGUACCCUAAGAAUAAGCACCGGCUAACUUCGUG